AUUGAACGCUGGCGGCAGGCCUAACACAUGCAAGUCGAACGAGUGGCGGACGGGUGAGUAAUGUCUGGGAAACUGCCUGAUGGAGGGGGAUAACUACUGGAAACGGUAGCUAAUACCGCAUACCAUCAGAUGGACCCACAUGGGAUUAGCUGGUUGGUGGGGUAACGGCUCACCAAGGCGACGAUCCCUAGCUGGUCUGAGAGGAUGAUCAGCCACACUGGAACUGAGAAACGGUCCAGACUCCUACGGGAGGCAGCAGUGGGGAAUAUUGCACAAUGGGCGGAAGCCGGAUGGAGCCAUGCCGCGUGUAUGAAGAAGGCCUUCGGGUUGUAAAGUACUUUCAGCGGGGAGGCGUUACCCGCAGAAGAAGCCCCGGCUAACUCCGUGCCAGCCGCCGCGGUAAUAC
rnacentral:rRNA from 1 species